rnacentral:lncRNA from 1 species
AUUUCUGAGACAAUGUAUACUUAACUUCUUUCUUUUUCUGGUCAGGUGCUAAUCUGUUAUUCCUGUGUACCAGGAGUUGUCUGUUAAUGAUGCAUAAUAGGACUAUUUUAGUCCACAAAGCUGGAGGAGAUGCAUAUAUAAAUCAUUCUUCCCCCCACCACACUCUUCUGGGAAGCACAAUGAACAUACAUUAAUAAUGACUGCAGUAAAGAUUAGCGCUUUCUUGGAGCUGAAGUGAAGAAAAAAUACAGCUUUCUCUCAGGAACAUUCAACACUUCAAAUAGACAUCUGCUAAAUGAUAUUCUGUAUUUCUUCUGAUUAGCUAAGAAGGCUUGCAGGUUUCCUGGGAACAGUCAGAGUUUUCUUGUAUAUCUUCGCUCUUGGGCUGUUCCCAGGGCAAUGGCUAUUGCAAUUGGACUAGGUCCCUUUCAAGGACUCAUCUCCUUAUUUUCAUCCCCGGAGGCUUGCUAUCAGAAUUAACCAAUGGUAACACAGGAGAUCCCUCACUAAGGCACCAAAACUUUGUCCAAGGAAUAUAAGAGAGAGUACUUCCUGACUGGAAAAGCCAGAAAGAACAAAACUUGUCCUAAACCCACCCAUGAAGCACACAAACCAGAGUCAUGCCCUAAGAGCAUAUGUGCUCUUUGACCAACUGCUCCCUGGCUGAGAUGUCUCUAUUUUCUUGAGCGUUCUGGAAACAGACCCAGAAAUCCUCUCCUCAAGAGUUCAAACACCCUCGGUAAAUGAGAGCAAACCUGUUCUUCUACUCUGUGUCUGGACAUACUGGCCUGGGUCAGAGCUAGCACAAGAACAGCUGAACUGCACCACGUCAAGGUACGAUCCUGGCCUCAGUAACCAUUUCCGAUACUUACUUGCAGUGUCUAUUUGGGGAAGGAGUGCAGCAAGCUUGAGACCUAGAUCUUGGGAAAAAGACUCUUAGGAGACUCUAAUUUAAACCUAGAAGAAGCAAUAACGAUUUGGCAGACUACACAGUAGAAUCAGAGAAGAAGGAAAAUUUUGGAGAUAAAGAAGACAAUGCUCUGAUGAAUCAGAUGAUGAAACCAAAACGCUGUAGAAACAUGCAGACACAGGAACGUAUUCAAGACAUUAAGACAAAAUCUGAGAAAAAAAAAUCAAAUUGAGUUUGCAAGAAGUAGAAUGCACUAUGUGUGGAAGAAAUCAUAGCAUGUACCCUGUGGACAGAAGUGUUACAUUUGCAAGAAACUAAUAGUCUGCAGACCAGAUUGUCCGUUCCUCUGAGGGAAAAGAGGAAGUUUGCAUGCAUCUUCCACAGUGAAGCAGGCUUCUGUAGCACACCCUACAGCAACAUACUGCUAUGAUAACACUUGAGAAUUUUCUUCAGUUAUAUUUGGGAGAACUGUUCAAAAGACCUUGAGUAGAUUGAAUACUGUUUGGAAAAAGAAUGGGAACCUUACAACAUACGGAAUAGAGAGUAGAGCACUAACUGAUAUGAUGUAAGAAGUUGCAGUAAAUAGCCUGAAGAACAAACACAGUCACAGUGAAGACAGAUGGAAAUCAAAUUAUACAUCUGGGAAAUCAUUUCUAUUAUGGGUAUAUGUAAGAGAGGUAUAAAGGCAAAAUAGGAUCUUGAAAAGAUAAUUGCUUAAUGAAAUAGAGUAGUUGUUGAAAGAACAUGUCAAGAAGUAGAAAUCUUUGAGAGAAUUUUUGCUGUAGAAGCACAGGAACCCAUUAUGAUUGAUUGCAAAAUCCAAACAGAGAGAAAGUAUAAACUAAGAAAGAGCAAAGAAAAAGGCAAAUUCCAAAGAAGAAGAUAAAUGUCAAGAAGUAAAUAGGAAGAAAGUAGGAAAGAAAGAAAAAAGAAAGGAAGGAAGGAAGAAAGAAAGAAAUGAAAGAAGGAACUAUUAAAAAGCUUACUGGCAAAUAGAAACACUUAAUAAGCAAAUAACAGAAACAAAAAA